rnacentral:hammerhead_ribozyme from 1 species
AUCCAGCUGAUGAGUUCCAAAUAGGACAAAAUGAGCGUCAAACUGGAU